rnacentral:rRNA from 1 species
GACGAACGCUGGCGGCGUGCCUAACACAUGCAAGUCGAACGGGGUUACGAGAGCUUGCUCUUGUAACUUAGUGGCGAACGGGUGAGUAACGCGUGAGAAACCUGCCUCUCAGUGGGGGACAACAGUUGGAAACGACUGCUAAUACCGCAUAACACUUUAGUACCGCAUGGUACAGAAGUCAAAGCUUUAUGUGCUGAGAGAUGGUCUCGCGUCUGAUUAGCUAGAUGGCGGGGUAACGGCCCACCAUGGCGACGAUCAGUAGCCGGUCUGAGAGGAUGAACGGCCACAUUGGGACUGAGAUACGGCCCAGACUCCUACGGGAGGCAGCAGUGGGGAAUAUUGGGCAAUGGGGGAAACCCUGACCCAGCAACGCCGCGUGAAGGAAGAAGGCCUUCGGGUUGGUAAACCUCUGUCCUCAGUGACGAAACAAAUAGACGGUAGCGUGAGGAGAAAGACCACGGCUAACUACGUGCC